rnacentral:misc_RNA from 1 species
AAGACUAUAGACCUGCGGAGUACCUGCGGAGGGAUCAUUACCGAGUUCUCGCCCCUCGCGGGGUAGACCUCCCACCCACUGUGAUCACUACCGUCGUUGCUUUGGCGGGCCGCUGGGCCCAGCCCACCGCCGGCCCCGGCUGGCGCGUGCCCGCCAGAGGCCCUACAAACGCUGGAUAUCAGUGCCGUCUGAGUACACAUGUUAAUCGUUAAAACUUUCAGCAACGGAUCUCUAGAUCGG